rnacentral:rRNA from 1 species
AGCGACAGGCCUAACACAUGCAAGUCGAGGGGCAGCACAAGGAGCAAUCUGAGGUGGCGACCGGCGCACGGGUGAGUAACACGUAUGCAACCUGCCUGUAAGCGGGGAAUAACCCGUUGAAAGACGGACUAAUACCGCAUAAUACUAAAUUACUGCAUGGUAAUUUAUUUAAACAUUUAUGGCUUACAGAUGGGCAUGCGCAUGAUUAGCUAGUUGGAGAGGUAACGGCUCCCCAAGGCAACGAUCAUUAGGGGUUCUGAGAGGAAGGUCCCCCACACUGGUACUGAGACACGGACCAGACUCCUACGGGAGGCAGCAGUGAGGAAUAUUGGUCAAUGGACGAGAGUCUGAACCAGCCAAGUCGCGUGCAGGAAGAAUGUCCCUAUGGAUUGUAAACUGCUUUUGCAGGGGAAUAAAGUGCAUCACGUGUGAUGUUUUGUAUGUACUCUGCGAAUAAGGAUCGGCUAACUCCGUGCCAGCCGCCGC